UCCCUGGUGGUCCAGUGGGUAAGACUCUGAACUCCUGAUUCAGGGGUCCCAGGUUCAAUCCCUGGUAGGGGAA